CGAGGGGCCCGCACAAGCGGUGGAGCAUGUGGUUUAAUUCGAUGCAACGCGAAGAACCUUACCUGGGCUUGACAUCCCAAGAAUCCCCUGGAAACAGGGAGUGCCCUUCGGGGAGCUUGGAGACAGGUGCUGCAUGGCUGUCGUCAGCUCGUGUCGUGAGAUGUUGGGUUAAGUCCCGCAACGAGCGCAACCCUUGUCCUUAGUUGCCAUCAUUUAGUUGGGCACUCUAAGGAGACUGCCGGUGUUAAACCGGAGGAAGUGGGGAUGACGUCAAGUCCUCAUGGCCCUUAUGUCCAGGGCUACACACGUGCUACAAUGGCCGGUACAAAGGGCAGCAAAGCCGCGAGGUGGAGCCAAUCCCAGAAAGCCGGUCUCAGUUCGGAUUGGAGUCUGCAACUCGACUCCAUGAAGUUGGAAUCGCUAGUAAUCGCGGAUCAGCAUGCCGCGGUGAACACGUUCCCGGGCCUU
rnacentral:rRNA from 1 species